CCCCUGUUAAUGGUUCCUGGGUAACCUCCACUCACUUCAGUUCCUCUCCAAGCUAUUGUUUUCCAGACUCUAGACUCUUCAUCUUGGAGAAACUGAGUUGCUGGCCCUCACUGCGACGCCAUCUGGGGACACAGUGAUACAUUGUCUUAUAAAAGAAAAUGCCUCUUUGUCUCUCACGAUUCAGGGUUUGAGGGUCUUCCAGGUUCCUUCUCCUACAGGUCGCAGCUGGGGGAAGUCACAGAGUAACAGUUUAGCUGGCUGGGGCAGAUCUCAUCAACAAUCUCAUGAUUGGAACUUUGGCACCAUAGCACAAGAAGAACAGUGUUCAAUGUUUUGGAUCAGAAGGAUUAAAGGUUGCGCAGGACCUGAGGCAAUGGGAAGAGCCUCUCUUUACCGCCUGGCUCUGUUUAUGAGAUGAUCCAUCAGGUUGUCGCAGAGUCUCCACCAAGUCCUUCAGCAACCAGAGGCGUUCCAGAUACAGACCUGUAAAGCAUGGACAAUUACAAAAGGGGAAAGUAACUCGAGAAGAUUAACUCAUCAGCCUCAAAUCACACAGCUCAUGGACAGCAGAGUGGGGGGACCCCACAGCUCUGGACUUCGGGGGUCUGUAGUGG